GACGAACGCUGGCGGCGUGCCUAAUACAUGCAAGUCGAACGAGAGCGCCCGGUGCUUGCACUGGUCAAUCUAGUGGCGAACGGGUGAGUAACACGUGGGUAACCUGCCCAUCAGAGGGGGAUAACAUCCGGAAACGGAUGCUAAAACCGCAUAGGUCUUCGAACCGCAUGGUUUGAAGAGGAAAAGAGGCGCAAGCUUCUGCUGAUGGAUGGACCCGCGGUGCAUUAGCUAGUUGGUGAGGUAACGGCUCACCAAGGCCGUGAUGCAUAGCCGACCUGAGAGGGUGAGCGGCCACAUUGGGACUGAGACACGGCCCAAACUCCUACGGGAGGCAGCAGUAGGGAAUCUUCCGCAAUGGACGCAAGUCUGACGGAGCAACGCCGCGUGAGUGAAGAAGGUGUUCGGAUCGUAAAACUCUGUUGUUAGAGAAGAACAAGUGCUAGAGUAACUGUUAGCGCCUUGACGGUAUCUAACCAGAAAGCCACGGCUAACUACGUG
rnacentral:rRNA from 1 species